rnacentral:lncRNA from 1 species
GCGUCACAAAGUCAGAAAUACUGAUGGGUUUGGUUCCACUCUGGAGAGGCAGGUUGCGGGGGAUGGAUCUGGAUACUGAUUCUGGCUGCAGGACCAGCAUGCCAGGGCCUUCAGAAUCCUCCAAUGGCUCAUGGAGAUGGACAGAUGAGAAAAUGAAAGUUCAAGGAGGUUAAGUAACGUGUUCAACACUCAACAAAUAAGGACUUUAAACCCUGGAAUGGCCAGUUCCAAAGCACCUGCUAAAACUCCCAGCUGGGAUCCCUCUGGGCCAGUUCUGUGCUCCAUCCUCAGCAUGAAAAAUUGAGAGAGGUUGCCUAGGUUCC